ACCGUGAAAAACCGCGGAGGCUAGACGGGUUGCCAACAUACUCCCUUUUAACGCAGAUAGAAUCAACAGAAAUCAUACUCUCCUCUUUCAAAAUAUAUUCGAAUUUUUUCACAUACUCUCCUCUCGAUCUAGUCAAUAGAGUUGUCUACUACAGUUGUCUACUAUGUCAUAUGAAUAUUUAACUACGCAAUCCAGAGUCAUUUGAUACCUCUUUGGGGCUGUCGAUAUCAUUUAGUGACUACAGCAAAAAUCUCUCCGACAUAUGACACAAAUUGAAUAUGAAUUAGAGCUACCUCAAAAUAGCUACUUCAUGCUACCGAAAGAAGAUAACUCCAAGCCAGCACUGGCGUGUCUACACUAUAGUGCAUCAUAGUAUUGCUUUUUGUCACUGUAACGAUUUUUUUUAUACAUUUGGUUAUUAUUCCAUUCAUUGUACAUUUCGUGUUGAUUUUUCAGAUGAUUUCCUAGUUUUUCUAAACUGUGAAAUAGUGAGAAAAAUUCGAUAAAGGCGAAAUGUGGCUUAUUAAAGUAUUUUAACUGAAUUGUGACCGCUUUUCAGAGAUGAUGAAACAUUCCGUAGAACAGUUGUGACAAUGAUUGUGGCAUUGGUCGUUGCAGUUUUUUUCGCUGACUGCUCUGAUGAUGCAUCGUUAUCAACUCGUGUGGAGCAAAACUACACAUUUGGAGAACGUAUCGAUUCUGAUCACCCAUUUUAUGAAUAUUACGAAUGCAGAAAUUAUGGUAGCAAGGUAACUGCAUUCACGAAGUGUACGAAAUUCAUCGAUCCUAAGAACGUAACUUAAGCUUAUUUUGUCACUAACAAGACAACGGAAAUCGAAAAUGUGUAUAUAAGCAAGGGUGGAAUUGACCAAGAAAUGGUCGAAUUCUGUCCUACAGUCGAAAAUGUUCGUUCUUAUUGCUUCUCCAUUCAAAUGUAUGGAUUUGAAAACAGUUAUGACCUGGCUUGAGAAGGAAAUAUAGGAUAAAAUCAAAUUGAAUGAAACAUUGAAAAAGAAUUGACGAAAAAAUAAAAAUAAAAGUUCAAAAUUAACUUCCGGUUCGUACUUUCUAUACUUACAAAUUUAAAUUGUUGAACCUAUUUGCUGCUGAAAAUAAUCGGAGAAUAUCACAUCGCACACUCUAUAGAGUGCCAACAACUGUAUAAAGCAAUAUAUCAAAUGGUUGUAUAUAUAAUAUUUUCUGGUGGCUUGUUUACACCCAUUUUGUACAUGUUGAUUGUCUGUUAGUGUCAACCUGUUGUAUACAAAAGCUGAUAAUUUUUCGUUUCAUGACCAGCAUAAAUGCACAGUUGAGAAUUAAAAUCAAAGUCCGAAAAAAAUGACAUC